rnacentral:rRNA from 1 species
GACGUAGGGGACGAGCGUUGUCCGGAUUCAUUGGGCGUAAAGCGCGCGUAGGCGGCCACGCAAGUCGGGUGUGAAAUCCCGGAGCUCAACUCCGGAACUGCACUCGAAGCUGCGCGGCUUGAGGUAGGUAGGGGAGAUCGGAAUUCCUGGUGUAGCGGUGGAAUGCGCAGAUAUCAGGAGGAACACCGGUGGCGAAGGCGGAUCUCUGGGCCUUACCUGACGCUGAGACGCGAAGCUAGGGGAGCGAACAGG